rnacentral:rRNA from 1 species
UACGGAGGAUGCAAGCGUUAUCCGGAAUGAUUGGCGUAAAGCGUCCGCAGGUGGCUGUGUAAGUCUGCUGUUAAAGAGUCUAGCUCAACUAGAUAAAGGCAGUGGAAACUACACGGCUAGAGUGCGUUCGGGGCAGAGGGAAUUCCUGGUGUAGCGGUGAAAUGCGUAGAGAUCGAGGAAGAACACCGGUGGCGAAGGCGCUCUGCUAGGCCGCAACUGACACUGAGGGACGAAAGCUAGGGGAGCGAAUGGG